ACCCUAAACCCUAAACCCUAAACCCUAACCCUAAACCCUAAACCCUAAACCCUAAACCCUAAACCCUAAACCCUAAACCCUAAACCCUAAACCCUAAACCCUAAACCCUAAACCCUAUUCUCAAAUGCCCCUAUUCUCAAAUGCCCCUAUUCUCAAAUACCCCUUUAUUCUAAAAUACCCCUAUUCUCAAAUACCCUUUUAAUCUCAAAUACCCCUAUUCUCAAAUAUCCCUUUAUUCUAAAAUGCCCCUAUUCUCAAAUAACCCUAUUCUCAAAUACCCCUAUUCUAAAAUACCCCUUUAUUCUAAAAUGCCCCUAUUCUCAAAUACCCAUAUUCUCAAAUACCCCUAUUCUCAAAUACCCCUUUAAUCUCAAAUACACAUAUUCUCAAAUACCCUUUAAUCUCAAAUACUCCUAUUCUCAAAUACCCCUUUAAUCUCAAAUACCCCAAUUCUCAAAUACCCUUUAAUCUUAAAUACCCUUUAAUCUCAAAUAUCCCUAUUCUCAAAUACCCCUUUAAUCUCAAAUACCCUUUUAAUCUCAAAUACUCCUUCUUCUCAAAAACCCCUCUAAUCUCAAAUACCUCUUAUUCUAAUCUCAAAUACCCUUUAAUCCAAAAUACCCCCUUAGUCUCAUUUACCCAUUAAUCUUAAAUAUCUCCUUAAUCUCAUAUACCCCUUAAUCCAAUAUAUCCCUAAUCUUAAAUACCCUUUAAUCCCAAAUGUCCUUUAAUCCCAAAUACCACUAAUCUCAAAACCCCUUCAUCUUAAAUAUUCCCCUUAAUCUCAUAUACCCCUUAAUCCAAUAUAUCCCUAAUCUCAAAUAUCCUUUAAUCCCAAAUACCACUAAUCUCAAAACCCCUUAAUCUCAAGUACACAUUAUUCUCAAAUACUCUCUAAUCUCUAAUACCCUUUAUCUCAAAUAUCUUUAAUCCCAAAUAUCCAUAUUUUUAUAUACCACUUAAUCUUAAACACCCCUUAAUCAUACCCAUAUUUUCAUAUACCACUUAAUCUUAAACACCCUUUAAUCAUACCCAUAUUUUUAUAUACCACUUAAUCUCAAAUAUCCCUUAAUCCUAUAACACAUAGAUUUAAGGGACUUAUUACACUAAAAAACGAAAUUUGGGAUUUUUUAACGUAGUUUAAAAGCUCGUCUUGUUUUAAAAUUUUAUAUUUCUCGGAUACGAAAGUUUAUGCAGCUUCUUAAAAGGCUUUAAGAUUUAAAAAGGCCCGAAGGUUUUUCUAGUGACAACUUAAGUAAUAUGUAUAAUAUUUCAAAUUAUACCAACCUGGAUACUAGCCGUACGAGUCUGAUACUAGCCGUUGAAUCGUUGAAGUUUCUCGUUUCAUGAUAAUGGGCUUAGCCCAAACUAAAUAGCGUUUCCCUCAUCUCCGUCACAAACUGUCUUGAUUCAUUUCUCUCAUAUUUCGCGAUAAUUCCUCGGCAACUGUCAUCUCGACUGCAAUUUACAAACAAAACCCCAAAACAUUAAAGUAAAUCGCAAAGCAAAAAACGAUGAACACGAGUGUAACGACCGUAACCCUGGGUUUAUAAUUAAAUAUAGGGUUUUUGAUUAGAAUGGUUACUUAUAUCACAAGAAAAGAGGAAUAAGGCACCUUAUCAUAUUGAUCACGUGCUCCAUAUCACCAACCCACACGAAACGUCAACAGCGUAGCAUCGAUGGCUCUCCGACAACAUGGAUCAAUUACGGUGAAAAAGGUGGUGGCGAACGUCGCAAAGUUAAGCGCUUUCCAAUCUAAGAAGAUUGAAGAUCACUACAAAAAGUAAAUAAUGAACGGUUAAGGAAUCUUAAACCAUACUAAAACAAAACAGCAAAGAGGAUGAAGAAAGCAAACCGAUCGUUCAAUUUCACGCAAGAACAGGACAAGAACAGAAGAAAAACAAAUUUACGAUUUAGAGAUUUACAAUUUCUUUUCGGGGAGGAGCCGCGCCGGAAGGAGACUCGUCUCGAAGAACCGCCAUCCCUAAGAUUGCUCCGCGCGCCGUCGCGGAAUCCGUCGAAGAAGAAUCGGAAGAAGGAAACCUUAGGUCCCACUAUCUAAGAGAAAUCGGGAAAAAAGAAAAAUUUCCAGAGGUUGGAUUCUUGUUCUUGAUGAUGAUGAUGAUGGUUUGAUGCAGAUGGGUUUUUGGUAAAGUUCGAUCCUUUAAUGAUUGAUUGAUCAUACCUUUGCAAACUGACUAUUUCAAGAAUGUCGGCUUGUACAACUCAUCGAAGAACUGUAGUUAUCUCCCGAAUAUUCACCCAAAAAACCCUAAAACUAAAAGUAGUUUCUCUGCUUUUAUUUAUAUGUAUCGUCAUUGCAUCUUCAAGAAAAACACGGAUAGAAUUUUAAAAAGAUAGCAGCAACGGAUAUAUUUACAAUCGGACGGCCUUGUAUUAUCCACGUCGGACACGCACACCAUUUAACUUCGUCCGCAAGGUUUUGUCUACCUAGCAGAUUUAAGUGGAUUUCAAAUGUAGGCCUAACAGAGUUUAAAACUUGGCCCAAUAAGACAAAAAAAUUAAGAAAGAGGAUUUACGUUUUGUUAGUCUAAAGUUAUACUGUGACGUAUACAAAAUUAAUCACAUCACCGCUUGAAUCCAAUUGCAAUCGCUUCUCGCUUACCACCUGUCAAUUAAUACAGGUUGUAAUCUCUAGGGGAUGUUGCACGUCUAGACGUUGAAAUGUUCAUGGUGAAGAUUUUCACUUUAAUGAAGGUAUAUUCCAGUUCUCAGUCUUUCUUCUUUUAAAUCACGGCUCAUCUUUUGAUUUGGGAAAGCUCUUUCAAUGCGAACCAGAAAUGGAUGAUAUUGCUUUCCUUGAGUUUGAUUCUUUGUUUGGGUUGAAAAACCUAUCGACCCCAGAAAGAGUAGCACAACAAUUGGGGAAAGAUAUUUUUUAUUAUUUCAGUUUCAGUACUCUCUUUUACUUCUCUUCCUCUUCACUCAUGUUCCGUCUCCUUUUAUUAGAACAGGAUUUGAAGGCCCCGGCCUUACCGCUCCUCAAAAGAUUUGGUUCUGUCUUGCUUCCGUUGGUGGUCAGUACAUAGGCAUGUAUAAAGCUGCUUCUUUCCUUAGCUUUUUGUCAUAUCUUUAUGCAUGGACUUGUUCAUCUUGUCUACAUAUAUAUCCUGAAAAAUCAUACAUUCCUGCCAGUAAACGUCUCACAACCAUUGAACUCUGAUGAAAUGCUUCUAAGAUUAAGCUAUAUUGGUUUCUAAUUGCUAAGACCUUGACACUGCAUGUGGCUUUUGAGUUCACAAUGUAGUUGUGAAACGAGAACCCAUGUUGGGCUCAAUUGAUGAGGCUGUGUAGUUGCUUGUUAGUUGUUAGCAAUGCACGUGUUGAUCUAAUGGGUUAAAUAGUGAAAUGUCUUACUGUUCUCUGAUGUCGUAAAUAACCUGUCACUGUUAAGAGCUAGGUUUGUCUAUAGGAGCCUGUCAGCUUCGAUUACAUGAAUCGCCAUAUAUUCUUAAUUAGCGAAGCAUAUUGAUCCAUAGAGAUACAUUGUUUAUAACAAAGAAGACCAUCAUCUUCCGGCAAUGUUUUCUUUCACAAACAGAAAUAUAUUUGGAUUAUCUUGCAGGUUUUAGACCAAAAAAGCUUUGAAAAAUGCCAAAUCAGAAGCAUUAUUACUAGCAAUAGAUAUUCAGCAAUGUAUAACACAAGCAUUGCAAUAAAAUAGUAGGUUUUCUUGAAAAACAUAUAGUUGUAUCAGCCAUAGAUCGAGUGAAACCAUCAGCUAAGAAUACAGAGGUGAAAUUCUGGAUCCAUUGUCUAGAGGCUUACUGUAAAUCAUAUAUGAUCAAUUACGGAAACAAUAUUCAUCAUCUGAAAGUAGGGAAUCAGGGGUAUUGGAAGUGAUGUGGAAGCAGCAGAGGCUGGAAGCCGUGGGUGAGACAAGCUUCCCACACUUGGUCCAAAUCCGAGAGAAGAAUAUUGGAUGUGCCGCACUCAUGCAUUUCCCAUCCUUCUAAGGCGUGCAAUAUGCCAGCCACUCUAGUUGCACUCAUCGCCUUUCUCGGUAACCAGUUCUGCAUAUGUGUUUUAUUUAGUUAGUUAGGAUAUCUGCAAAAACUUUUAAUUGGAUUGGAUAGCUUUGUAUACAUACCUCACAGGAGUGGAUAUUGACCAGAGAUUUUGGAAUUAUUAAAGCCGGUGGAGUAUGAUAGAUACAAUCUCUUCGUAACUGCUUGAGGGGGAACUGUGAGAAUGGGAUAAAUAACGUUCCUUUUGUGGCCAUUUCCUGCUCCUCUCUCGUUGUUCCUUCUCCCAU